rnacentral:rRNA from 1 species
AACGAACGCUGGCGGCAUGCCUAACACAUGCAAGUCGAACGAGACCUUCGGGUCUAGUGGCGCACGGGUGCGUAACGCGUGGGAACCUGCCCUUAGGUUCGGAAUAACUCCCCGAAAGGGGUGCUAAUACCGGAUACUGUGUUCGGACCAAAGAGUUAUCGCCUUUGGAUGGGCCCGCGUUGGAUUAGCUAGUUGGUAGGGUAAAAGCCUACCAAGGCGACGAUCCAUAGCUGGUCUGAGAGGAUGAUCAGCCACACUGGGACUGAGACACGGCCCAGACUCCUACGGGAGGCAGCAGUGGGGAAUAUUGGACAAUGGGCGAAAGCCUGAUCCAGCAAUGCCGCGUGAGUGAUGAAGGCCUUAGGGUUGUAAAGCUCUUUUACCCGGGAUGAUAAUGACAGUACCGGGAGAAUAAGCGCCGGCUAACUCCGUG